UGGGGAAUAUUGGACAAUGGGCGCAAGCCUGAUCCAGCCAUGCCGCGUGAGUGACGAAGGUCUUCGGAUUGUAAAGCUCUUUUACCAGGGACGAUAAUGACGGUACCUGGAGAAUAAGCCCCGGCUAACUUCGUGCCAGCAGCCGCGGUAAUACGAAGGGGGCUAGCGUUGUUCGGAAUUACUGGGCGUAAAGCGCACGUAGGCGGAUUUGUAAGUCAGGGGUGAAAUCCCGGGGCUCAACCUCGGAACUGCCUUUGAUACUGCGAAUCUCGAGUCCGAUAGAGGUGAGUGGAAUUCCUAGUGUAGAGGUGAAAUUCGUAGAUAUUAGGAAGAACACCAGUGGCGAAGGCGGCUCACUGGAUCGGUACUGACGCUGAGGUGCGAAAGCGUGGGGAGCAAACAGGAUUAGAUACCCCCGUAGUCCCUGAGCGGGCUGGCAAGGCGCAU
rnacentral:rRNA from 1 species